rnacentral:tRNA from 1 species
UGGGCUAUCGCCAAGAGGUAAGGCCGUGGAAUUUGACUCCACAAUUCGUUGGUUCGAAUCCAACUAGCCCAG